AACCUCCCAGGAUUGCAUCUGAAGAGCUUCCCAUACUCUUCCAGCACUGAACUUCCAAGGAAAAAAGCCACAGAAUGGUGCCCAUUCCAUUACUGUCUUUGAGAUAGGCUAGUUGAUGGAAGAAAUGCUGCCACAGGG
rnacentral:snoRNA from 1 species